rnacentral:rRNA from 1 species
AGUGAACGCUGGCGGUAGGCCUAGCACAUGCAAGUCGAACGGCAGCACAGUAAGAGCUUGCUCUUACGGGUGGCGAGUGGCGGACGGGUGAGGAAUACAUCGGAAUCUACUUUUUCGUGGGGGAUAACGUAGGGAAACUUACGCUAAUACCGCAUACGACCUACGGGUGAAAGCAGGGGAUCUUCGGACCUUGCGCGAUUGAAUGAGCCGAUGUCGGAUUAGCUAGUUGGCGGGGUAAAGGCCCACCAAGGCGACGAUCCGUAGCUGGUCUGAGAGGAUGAUCAGCCACACUGGAACUGAGACACGGUCCAGACUCCUACGGGAGGCAGCAGUGGGGAAUAUUGGACAAAGGGCGCAAGCCUGAUCCAGCCAUACCGCGUGGGUGAAGAAGGCCUUCAGGUUGUAAAGCCCUUUUGUUGGGAAAGAAAAGCAGCAGGUUAAUACCCCGCUGUUCUGACGGUACCCAAAGAAUAAGCACCGGCUAACUUCGUG